CAGCCGCCGCGGUAAUACGGAGGGUGCAAGCGUUAUCCGGAUUUAUUGGGUUUAAAGGGUCCGUAGGCGGAUCUGUAAGUCAGUGGUGAAAUCUCACAGCUUAACUGUGAAACUGCCAUUGAUACUGCAGGUCUUGAGUAAAUUUGAAGUGGCUGGAAUAAGUAGUGUAGCGGUGAAAUGCAUAGAUAUUACUUAGAACACCAAUUGCGAAGGCAGGUCACUAAGAUUUAACUGACGCUGAUGGACGAAAGCGUGGGGAGCGAACAGGAUUAGAUACCCCAGUAGUCCCUGUCCCUUAUAC
rnacentral:rRNA from 1 species